GACGAACGCUGGCGGCGUGCUUAACACAUGCAAGUCGAGCGGUAAGGCCCUUCGGGGGUACACGAGCGGCGAACGGGUGAGUAACACGUGGGUGACCUGCCUUUAGCUCUGGGAUAAGCCUGGGAAACCGGGUCUAAUACCGGAUAUGACUCCGCGGCGCAUGUUGUGGGGUGGAAAGCCUUGUGCGGCUGGAGAUGGGCCCGCGGCCUAUCAGCUUGUUGGUGGGGUGAUGGCCUACCAAGGCGACGACGGGUAGCCGGCCUGAGAGGGCGACCGGCCACACUGGGACUGAGACACGGCCCAGACUCCUACGGGAGGCAGCAGUGGGGAAUCUUGCGCAAUGGGCGAAAGCCUGACGCAGCGACG
rnacentral:rRNA from 1 species